UACGUAGGGGGCAAGCGUUGUCCGGAAUCAUUGGGCGUAAAGCGCGCGUAGGCGGCUAGAUCAGUCUGCUGUAAAAGUCAAAGGCUCAACCUUUGAAAGCCGGUGGAUACUGUCUAGCUAGAGUCCGGAAGAGGCGAGUGGAAUUCCUGGUGUAGCGGUGAAAUGCGCAGAUAUCAGGAAGAACACCCGUGGCGAAGGCGGCUCUCUGGGACGGUACUGACGCUGAGACGCGAAAGCGUGGGGAGCGAACAGG
rnacentral:rRNA from 1 species